AGGAGUGGUAAGUGCAGUAAGUAUACAGACAUUUGACUACAGGAGGUACAGUAAGCACAGUAAGUACACAGCCAUUAGUCUAGAAGAGGUACAGUAAGUACAGUAGGGAUACAGCCAUUAAUAUAGAGGACGUACAGUAAGUACAGUAGGAAUGCAGAUUAGAAAUGAUUAGAUAUGGUAAGUGCAGUAAGUAUACAGACAUUAAUCUAGAGGAGUUACAGUAAGUACAGUAGGUAUACAGAUUAAAAAUGAUG